rnacentral:rRNA from 1 species
GCAAUGGGCGAAAGCCUGACGGAGCAACGCCGCGUGAGUGAUGAAGGUCUUCGGAUCGUAAAACUCUGUUAUUAGGGAAGAACAUAUGUGUAAGUAACUGUGCACAUCUUGACGGUACCUAAUCAGAAAGCCACGGCUAACUACGUGCCAGCAGCCGCGGUAAUACGUAGGUGGCAAGCGUUAUCCGGAAUUAUUGGACGUAAGGCGCGCGUAGGCGGUUUUUUAAGUCUGAUGUGAAAGCCCACGGCUCAACCGUGGAGGGUCAUUGGAAACUGGAAAACUUGAGUGCAGAAGAGGAAAGUGGAAUUCCAUGUGUAGCGGUGAAAUGCGCAGAGAUAUGGAGGAACACCAGUGGCGAAGGCGACUUUCUGGUCUGUAACUGACGCUGAUGUGCGAAAGCGUGGGGAUCAAACAGGAUUAGAUAUCCUGGUAGUCCACGCCGUAAACGAUGAGUGCUAAGUGUUAGGGGGUUUCCGCCCCUUAGUGCUGCAGCUAACGCAUUAAGCA